UUGUUGAUUCAAUGAUGCCCACUUUUGUGCAGUUAUUAUCAACACAGGAUACUAGAUCAUAAGAACAAGCACAAGAUAGAAUCUUGGAAGAGUAAAGAGAUUGGAUGAUGAUGAAGAUGACAUAUAUGGUAAAUGAUCUUGGAGAGAAUCUUGUCAUGGUGUAUGUGCAUGAGCAGGGUACAACUUAAAUUAGACACAAAAACAUGCAUCCAUCUAUCUAUAUAUAUAUAUAUAUAUAUAUCUUGGCAUAUAUGUCAGUCAAUACACAGAGAAUGAAGAUGGGGUUUAAGAAAAGAAGGGUUUGGAUUGUAACUUUGUUGGUAUACAUGGGCCAUGGCUCAUAGAUAUGCACAUAUAUUGGAGACUGAAUCUUUCCCAAAUAAUAUGACAAAAACCAAUGAAGGUAGAUAGAUAGAGAAUGAUGGGGUGUGUGUGAGAUUAGGUGUGGGGUUUCAUGAGAGCUUUGGAAGAUAUUAUUAAAACUGUUACAA